UGAUAUCCAUUAAGUAAGCCGAGAGAGAUAAUAUAUUUGACAAUUACCGGACAUAGAAUAGAUAUGAUCAACAGCGGGCAUGUAUACGCCAGAAGAAGUUAAUACUUGGAUGUCGCUAGAGGUCGUUCAGAUUGUAAUUUUAUUAAGUGACUAGAUUUAUAAAGUACCAUGCAAGUGAUUACGCAUGUGCUGAUGUACACUUUCACCUUCUGAACUCUACCUGCAUGAGUUUUUCAGCACGAGCAGUACGCGGCAUUGUCACCAGAGGGACGUAGCGGAGUUCAGUUUCUCCCGUUUCUCCUAAGAAAAAUAUCACUCAACAAAGGCACAACAUUGGAUUCAAACUUAGAAGACAAAUAAACGAAAAAUGCAUAUAAAAAUUUGUAACUAUGUAUUAAAAAGUUUUAAU